UACGUAGGGUGCAAGCGUUGUCCGGAAUUAUUGGGCGUAAAGGGCUCGUAGGCGGUUCGUCACGUCGGGAGUGAAAACUCGGAGCUUAACUCCGAGCCUGCUUCCGAUACGGGCAGACUAGAGGUAGGCAGGGGAGAGCGGAACUCCUGGUGUAGCGGUGGAAUGCGCAGAUAUCAGGAAGAACACCGGUGGCGAAGGCGGGUCUCUGGGCCGAUACUGACGCUGAGGAGCGAAAGCGUGGGGAGCGAACAGG
rnacentral:rRNA from 1 species